UUCACCUUCCCCAGGCCAAGGAGCUGGCAUCAGGCACAACUAUCUGCCCAUAACGCCUAGUCUUACCACGCCCCCAAGGGUAGUCAGCAGUGAUAAAUCUUGUGCAUAAGCGACAGCUUGACCCAGUCAGAGAAAAGAGGGCCGGCUAAUCCGGUGCCAGCCGCCGCGGCUACACCGUAGACUCAAGUUGAUAAUCUUCGGCGUUAAGCGUGAUUAAAGUCCCAAUAAUAUUAGGGUCAAAUUAAUACUCGGUUGUGAUAAGCUUGCUAUUAAGAAGGACAUAAACGAAAGUUACCCUAACUACUACACUUGAAUACACGACAGCUGGGGAACAAACUGGGAUUAGAUACCCCACUAUGCCCAGCCGUAAAAAAUUAACUCACACCAACCAGCGCCAGGGAAUUACGAGCAAUGCUUAAAACCCAAAGGAUUUGACGGUAUCCCAUCCACCUAGAGGAGCCUGUUCUAUAAUCGAUAACCCCCGCUAUACCCAACCACUCCUAGCUUAUCAGCCUGUAUACCUCCGUCGAAAGCCUACCAUGUGAAUGUUCUCAGUAAGCUUAAUGUCCCCGUCAAAACGUCAGGUCAAGGUGCAGCUCAUGGAGCGGAAAGAAAUGGGCUACAAUUUCUAACCUAGAACACACGAAAAACUAGGUGAAACCCUAGUCAUGAAGGCGGAUUUAGUAGUAAAAAGAAAAUAGAGUGUUCUUUUUAAUUUGGCCCUGGGAUGUGUACACACCGCCCGUCACCCUCUUCGACUGUAUUUAAUACUGUUUUAUAACUUCCCCCCACAUUUUAGAAGAGGCAAGUCGUAACAUGGUAAGUGUACUGGAAAGUGCACUUGGCUAACAA
rnacentral:ncRNA from 1 species